GAAUAUUGGUCAAUGGGCGCAAGCCUGAACCAGCCAUGCCGCGUGCAGGAUGACGGUCCUAUGGAUUGUAAACUGCUUUUGCACAGGAAGAAACACUCCGACGUGUCGGAGCUUGACGGUACUGUGAGAAUAAGGAUCGGCUAACGCCGUGCCAGCAGCCGCGGUAAUACGGAGGAUCCAAGCGUUAUCCGGAAUCAUUGGGUUUAAAGGGUCCGUAGGCGGUCUUGUAAGUCAGUGGUGAAAGCCCAUCGCUCAACGGUGGAACGGCCAUUGAUACUGCAGGACUUGAAUUAUUGGGAAGUAACUAGAAUAUGUAGUGUAGCGGUGAAAUGCUUAGAGAUUACAUGGAAUACCAAUUGCGAAGGCAGGUUACUACCAAUGGAUUGACGCUGAUGGACGAAAGCGUGGGUAGCGAACAG
rnacentral:rRNA from 1 species